rnacentral:tRNA from 1 species
GCGGGUAUGGUUUAGUGGUAGAACAUCAGCUUCCCAAGCUGAGAGUGUGGGUUCGAUUCCCAUUACCCGCUCCA